rnacentral:rRNA from 1 species
UUGAACGCUGGCGGCAGGCCUAACACAUGCAAGUCGAGCGGUAGCACAGGGAGCUUGCUCCUGGGUGACGAGCGGCGGACGGGUGAGUAAUGUCUGGGAAACUGCCUGAUGGAGGGGGAUAACUACUGGAAACGGUAGCUAAUACCGCAUAAUGUCUACGGACCAAAGUGGGGGACCUUCGGGCCUCAUGCCAUCAGAUGUGCCCAGAUGGGAUUAGCUAGUAGGUGGGGUAAUGGCUCACCUAGGCGACGAUCCCUAGCUGGUCUGAGAGGAUGACCAGCCACACUGGAACUGAGACACGGUCCAGACUCCUACGGGAGGCAGCAGUGGGGAAUAUUGCACAAUGGGCGCAAGCCUGAUGCAGCCAUGCCGCGUGUGUGAAGAAGGCCUUCGGGUUGUAAAGCACUAUCAGCGAGGAGGAAGGGUUCAGUGUUAAUAGCACUGUGCAUUGACGAGUCUCGCAGAAGAAGUACG